rnacentral:rRNA from 1 species
GACGAACGCUGGCGGCGUGCUUAACACAUGCAAGUCGAACGGUGAACGAGGGAGCUUGCUCCCUCCGGAUCAGUGGCGAACGGGUGAGUAACACGUGAGCAAUCUGCCCCGAACUCUGGGAUAAGCGUUGGAAACGACGUCUAAUACCGGAUACGACGCGGGAGGGCAUCCUCUCCGCGUGGAAAGAACUUCGGUUCGGGAUGAGCUCGCGGCCUAUCAGCUUGUUGGUGAGGUAACGGCUCACCAAGGCGACGACGGGUAGCCGGCCUGAGAGGGUGACGGGCCACAUGGGACUGAGGAAACGGCCCAGCUCCUACGGGGGGCAAGAGGGGGGAAAAUUGGACAAUGGGCGGAAGCCUGAUGCAGGAACGCCGGGGGAGGGACGACGGCCUUCGGGUUGUAAACCUCUUUUAGCAGGGAAGAAGCGAAAGUGACGGUACCUGCAGAAAAAGCACCGGCUAACUACGUG